rnacentral:rRNA from 1 species
CCUACGGGGGGCAGCAGUGGGGGAUAUUGCACAAUGGGGGAAACCCUGAUGCAGCGACGCCGCGUGGGUGAAGAAGCGCCUCGGCGCGUAAAGCCCUGUCAGCAGGGAAGAAAAUGACGGUACCUGAAGAAGAAGCCCCGGCUAACUACGUGCCAGCAGCCGCGGUAAUACGGAGGGGGCAAGCGUUACCCGGAUUUACUGGGUGUAAAGGGGGCGCAGACGGCGAUGCAAGCCAGGAGUGAAAGCCCGGGGCCCAACCCCGGGACUGCAUUUGGAACUGCGUGGCUAGAGUGCAGGAGGGGCAGGCGGAAUGCCUGGUGUAGCGGUGAAAUGCGUAGAUAUCAGGAGGAACACCGGUGGCGAAGGCGGCCUGCUGGACUGCAACUGACGUUGAGGCCCGAAAGCGUGGGGAGCAAACAGGAUUAGAUACCCGAGUAGUC